UGGUUCUGGCAUCGAUGAAGAACGCAGCGAAAUGCGAUAAGUAAUGUGAAUGCAGAAUUUCAGUGAAUCAUCGAAUCUUGAACGCACAUUGCGCCCCUUGGUAUCCGGNGGGCAUGCCUGUUCGAGCGUCAUUACAACCCUCAAGCCUGGCUUGGUAUUGGGCUUCGCCACUAACCUGGCGGGCCUUANAAUCAGUGGCGGUGCCUCCGAGGCCCUGAGCGCAGUAAAUAUCCUCGCUAUAGGGACCCGGUGGUUACUGGCCAGCAACCCCAACUUUCUAAGUUUGACCUCGGAUCAGGUAGGGAUACCCGCUGAACUUAAGCAUAUCAAUAAGCGGAGGAAAAGAAACCAACAGGGAUUGCCUCAGUAACGGCGAGUGAAGCGGCAACAGCUCAAAUUUGAAAUCUGGCUCUUUCAGGGUCCGAGUUGUAAUUUGUAGAAGAUGCUUUGGGUGUGGCUCCGGUCUAAGUUCCUUGGAACAGGACGUCAUAGAGGGUGAGAAUCCCGUAUGUGACUGGCCGCCUUCGCCCGUGUAAAGCUCUUUCGACGAGUCGAGUUGUUUGGGAAUGCAGCUCAAAAUGGGUGGUAAAUUUCAUCUAAAGCUAAAUAUUGGCCAGAGACCGAUAGCGCACAAGUAGAGUGAUCGAAAGAUGAAAAGCACUUUGGAAAGAGAGUUAAACAGUACGUGAAAUUGUUGAAAGGGAAGCGCUUGCAACCAGACUUGCGCGCAGUUAAUCAUCUGGUGUUCUCACUGGUGCACUUUUCUGCGUUCAGGCCAGCAUCGGUUCAGGUGGUGGGAUAAAGGCCUUGGGAAUGUAGCUUCUUUCGGGGAGUGUUAUAGCCCUCGGUGCAAUGCCGCCUAUAGGACCGAGGACCGCGCUUCGGCUAGGAUGCUGGCGUAAUGGUUGUAAGCGACCCGUCUUGAAACACGGACCAAGGAGUCUAACAUCUAUGCGAGUGUUUGGGUGUCAAACCCAUACGCGUAAUGAAAGUGAACGGAGGUGAGAACCCUUAAGGGUGCAUCAUCGACCGAUCCUGAUGUCUUCGGAUGGAUUUGAGUAAGAGCAUAGCUGUUGGGACCCGAAGAUGGUGAACUAUGCCUNGAUAGGGGUGAGCCAGAGGAAACUCUGGUGGAGGCUCGCAGCGGGUCUGACGUGCAA
rnacentral:rRNA from 1 species